AGCCAGCUGUCAGAAUCCUGCCUUCUACCACCUCAGUUCUAUUGGACAGUCAACAUGGACCUUUUACCUGAUAUCAUUGUUGCUAACUCUGUGGGCAGGGCAAAAUCUCCAGCAACCCUCACAGUAAUGUGGGCUGCCAAUAUGGGACCCAGACUUAUACCAGUGCAAACCAAGAACAGGGCAAUGGAAGGGACCUCAUUGGGUUGCAGGAAGAAAGGAAAUGUCCAUAUGUCACCAAGGUUAAAGCCAAUGACAAGUACUAAUUUGACAUUUGCACUUGGUUCUUAUCCCAGAAAGGUGCUUCCUACACAAGAAGUCACAUGACCACAGAGUGUCAUUUGUCAAAGGACCACGAAGUUGUUCAAAACUCUGCAUAGGAUCCAAUCUAUCACAUGGAUAUGCAAUAAUGAGCGGCCUGCAGACAGACGUCAUCCCCUGAAAAUGUCCUAAACAAGGUGCAGGCCAACGAGGAAGAGGAGAGGCUGAAUAGAGAACUGGAGCUAACUACCAAGGAGAGAAAUGAGCUGACAGAUCGCCACCUUUAUGUGACAGGUGGAUCCAUGAGAAAGAGGUAUGCAUUGCUCCAAACAAACGACCUUGUUCUAAACCUCAUCUCCCAUAGAUAGGAGAUUCAGAACAUGACCCUUACUGAGGAGUGAGAUUGAAAAUGGACUCUCUGAUUCUGCCUGUUGAAAAUCUGAACUUGCAAUCUGAGUGAAGAUUUCAGGGAUAAAGUCACUGGAGCAUGAGUUCCCAGUGUACAAUUGGAAAGCCCUUGACAGGUGGUAGUUUUGCAAGGUUCUGGGUGCUGUGAGUUUGUGGAGAGUGUUUGUGCUUGCUAGGAAGGUGACUGAACGCUAUCAUCUCCUGGCAGCAGCCUUAGGUGACAGGUCCCACAGUGUUCAUAUCAAUGCUUAAGUAGAAGGCCUGAGGCUCCGGCCUGCUCCUUCUUGUCUCUGUGCCUUACACUCUGAGACAGUAAUGGUGCAUGCAUUUCUACUGAUUCUCAUUGUGCUCUUUCCAUAUUUGUCUCUCUCAUU
rnacentral:sRNA from 1 species